rnacentral:rRNA from 1 species
UACGAAGGGGGCUAGCGUUGCUCGGAAUCACUGGGCGUAAAGCGCACGUAGGCGGAUUGUUAAGUCAGGGGUGAAAUCCUGGAGCUCAACUCCAGAACUGCCUUUGAUACUGGCGAUCUCGAGUCCGGGAGAGGUGAGUGGAACUGCGAGUGUAGAGGUGAAAUUCGUAGAUAUUCGCAAGACCACCAGUGGCGAAGGCGGCUCACUGGCCCGGUACUGACGCUGAGGUGCGAAAGCGUGGGGAGCAAACAGG